ACACAAGCGGGCUUGCUCGCGAAGACGGCGGUAUAGUCAAUAUUGAUGUCGCCUGACACACCGCAUUCGCGAGCAAGCCCGCUCCCAC
rnacentral:misc_RNA from 1 species